rnacentral:rRNA from 1 species
UACGUAGGGUGCGAGCGUUGUCCGGAAUUAUUGGGCGUAAAGAGCUCGUAGGCGGUUACAUAAGUCGGGUGUGAAAGCCCCGGGCUCAACCUGGGAAUUGCAUUCGAGACUGCGUAGCUAGGGUGCGGAAGAGGGAAGCGGAAUUUCCGGUGUAGCGGUGAAAUGCGCAGAUAUCGGGAGGAACACCGGUGGCGAAGGCGGCUCUCUGGGGACGGUACUGACGCUGAGACGCGAAAGCGUGGGGAGCGAACAGG